rnacentral:rRNA from 1 species
CUGGGAUAACUCCGGGAAACCGGAGCUAAUACCGGAUAGUUCCUUGAACCUAGUGCUUGGAUGAUGGCAUGGUUCAAGGAUGAAAGACGGUUUCGGCUGUCACUUACAGAUGGACCCGCGGCGCAUUAGCUAGUUGGUGAGGUAACGGCUCACCAAGGCGACGAUGCGUAGCCGACCUGAGAGGGUGAUCGGCCACACUGGGACUGAGACACGGCCCAGACUCCUACGGGAGGCAGCAGUAGGGAAUCUUCCGCAAUGGACGAAAGUCUGACGGAGCAACGCCGCGUGAGUGAUGAAGGUUUUCGGAUCGUAAAGCUCUGUUGUUAGGGAAGAACAAGUGCAAGAGUAACUGCUUGCACCUUGACGGUACCUAACGAUCAAGCCACGGCUAACUACGUGCCAGCAGCCGCGGUAAUACGUAGGUGGCAAGCGUUGUCCGGAAUUAUUGGGCGUAAAGGGCUCGCAGGCGGUUUCUUAAGUCUGAUGUGAAAGCCCCCGGCUCAACCCGGGGAGGGUCAUUGGAAACUGGGAAACUUGAGUGCAGAAGAGGAGAGUGGAAUUCCACGUGUAGCGGUGAAAUGCGUAGAGAUGUGGAGGAACACCAGUGGCGAAGGCGACUCUCUGGUCUGUAACUGACGCUGAGGAGCGAAAGCGUGGGGAGCGAACAGGAUUAGAUACCCUGGUAGUCCACGCGUAGUACGAUGAGUGCUAAGUGUUAGGGGGUUUCCGCCCCUUAGUGCUGCAGCUAACGCAUUAAGCACUCCGCCUGGGGAGUACGGUCGCAAGACUGAAACUCAAAGGAAUUGACGGGGGCCCGCACAAGCGGUGGAGCAUGUGGUUUAAUUCGAAGCAACGCGAAGAACCUUACCAGGUCUUGACAUCCUCUGACAACCCUAGAGAUAGGGCUUUCCCUUCGGGGACAGAGUGACAGGUGGUGCAUGGUUGUCGUCAGCUCGUGUCGUGAGAUGUUGGGUUAAGUCCCGCAACGAGCGCAACCCUUGAAUGCUGUGGCCAGCAUUCAGUUGGGCACUCUAAGGUGACUGCCGGUGACAAACCGGAGGAAGGUGGGGAUGACGUCAAAUCAUCAUGCCCCUUAUGACCUGGGCUACACACGUGCUACAAUGGGAUGAACAAAGGGCUGCGAGACCGCAAGGUUUAGCCAAUCCCACAAAUCUGUUCUCAGUUCGGAUCGCAGUCUGCAACUCGACUGCGUGAAGCUGGAAUCGCUAGUACGGAUGGAUC